GACGAACGCUGGCGGCGUGCUUAACACAUGCAAGUCGAACGGAAAGGCCCUGCUUUUGUGGGGCGCUCGAGUGGCGAACGGGUGAGUAACACGUGAGUAACCUGCCCUUGACUUUGGGAUAACUCCAGGAAACUGGGGCUAAUACCGGAUAGGAGCUCCUGCUGCAUGGUGGGGGUUGGAAAGUUUCGGCGGUUGGGGAUGGACUCGCGGCUUAUCAGCUUGUUGGUGGGGUAGUGGCUUACCAAGGCUUUGACGGGUAGCCGGCCUGAGAGGGUGACCGGCCACAAUGGGACUGAGAUACGGCGCAGUCGCCUAUGGGAGGCAGCAGGGGAGAAUAUUACACAAUGGGGGGAAGCCUGUUGCAGCAACGCCGCGUGCGGGAUGACGGGCUACGGGUUGUAAACCGCUUUCGCCUGUGACGAAGCGUGAGUGACGGUAAUGGGUAAAGAAGCACCGGCUAACUACGUG
rnacentral:rRNA from 1 species